rnacentral:rRNA from 1 species
UACGUAGGGUGCGAGCGUUGUCCGGAAUUAUUGGGCGUAAAGAGCUCGUAGGCGGUUUGUUGCGUCUAUCGUGAAAACCUGCAGCUUAACUGUGGGCUUGCGGUGGAUACGGGCAGACUUGAGUUCGGUAGGGGAGACUGGAAUUCCUGGUGUAGCGGUGAAAUGCGCAGAUAUCAGGAGGAACACCGAUGGCGAAGGCAGAUCUCUGGGCCGUAACUGACGCUGAGGAGCGAAAGCAUGGGGAGCGAACAGG